GUGUUUGGCUCGGCAGCACAUAUACUAAAAUUGAGCUGAUACAGAGAUUAGCAGGACCCCUGUGCACAGAUGACACACAAAUUCAUAAAAUGUUCCAAAUUUUA